CCUACGGGAGGCAGCAGUGAGGAAUAUUGGUCAAUGGCCGGAAGGCUGAACCAGCCAAGCCGCGUGAAGGACGAAGGUGCCAAGCAUUGUAAACUUCUUUUGUCAAGGGACAAAAUCAGGCUCGAGAGCCUGACCGAGGGUACUUGAAGAAAAAGCAUCGGCUAACUCCGUGCCAGCAGCCGCGGUAAUACGGAGGAUGCGAGCGUUAUCCGGAUUUAUUGGGUUUAAAGGGUGCGUAGGCGGACUGUUAAGUCAGCGGUAAAAGCCCGGGGCUCAACCCCGGCGAGCCGUUGAAACUGGCUGUCUUGAGUGAAGUAGAGGUAGGCGGAAUUCCCGGUGUAGCGGUGAAAUGCGUAGAGAUCGGGAGGAACACCAGUGGCGAAGGCGGCCUACUGGGCUUUAACUGACGCUGAAGCACGAAAGCGUGGGUAGCAAACAGGAUUAGAUACCCCAGUAGUC
rnacentral:rRNA from 1 species